CUGUUUUGUCAAGGCUCCAGCAAACUCCAGCCUUUUUUCUGUGUUUUUUAGUCCUAAAAUUCUAGCCUGGCAUCUGCGAUUGUGUUAGUUUCCCAUCAUUAUUUUCUAGCCUAACAAGGAAGCCUCGUGAAAACAAAGCGUUCUGUUUAAUCCUCAGGUGGACGUUUGAACCCUCGUAAACAUGCUCCCUUCACCCCCCCAUCUUACUUUUUAGCAAUCUCAGAGAUCAAAAAGACAGUCAUCUCAUCCAGUGUAGACAAAGUGAAGUACAUUCCUUUCAUUUGCCUUUGCUGUAGUCCCUAUUUCAUCCAUCUAAUCCGUUUUAAGGGAUAAAAUUGCAAUUACAAACAUUUCAUGUGUGGUCAGAUUUUUAGUAUUUUAAUCUGGUCUGAGACUUAAGAUGAAAUGACAGUUCUAACAGAGGUCCUGUGUGGAAGAAAGGACCUAGGUGCCAGUCUCAGUCCAGUCCCUUCUUAGACGUGUGACUUUGGAAAACCUCUCAGAGACCCAUCAUCUCGUCGUAGAUGGGGAUGGUAUUACAGGUCGUGCUCAUCUGUGUUAAUCAGGGUUCUCCAGAGAAACAGAACCAAUAGGAGAUCCACAUCGCUGUUGAUGUCAAUAGAUAGAUAGGUGUGUAUGUAGGGAUGGCAGGCUGGAGACCCUGGGAAGAGUUGAUGUUGCAGUCAGGAGGCUGAACUUCCUCUUCCUUGGGAGACCCAAGUUUUUUUCUCUUAAGGCCUUCAACUGAUUGGUUGAGGCCCACCCAUAUUAUGGAGGGCAAUCUGCUUCACUCAGAGUCUACUGACUUAAAUGUCCAUCUCAUCUAAACGGUAUCUUCACGGUGUUCAGGCAAAUAUCGGUGCCACGUCCUAGUCAAGUUGACACCUGAAAUCAACCAUCCCCCUCGCAGGAGUUUGUGAGCAUCAGGUGUGAAUGGUCAGGAGCUGCAGGCGUGCACGGAGGAGGCCACUGUUCUUCAUGCUUGAGCCUUUUCUGUUUCUGCCUCGUUUACUUUCCUUCUCUCUCCUCACUGUUACCCUUUUCCUCCUACCUCUGACACCUGCCCUUCACCUCCCACCUGCUACCUGAGAUGGGAGCCACACGUGAAGUGAGAAGAAGGGAGAAUGACCAGGUGGGUGAUGAAUUUAAACUGGAAAGAGAACAGAUCCUGAUGCCAGUCAGGAUAGAGGUGGUCUAGCUCUUAUGUGAUCAUGGGCAAGUGAACAUGCCUCAGUGAGCCUCUGAUCAGUUUCUGUAUGAGGAUAAUUAUAUUUAUCCUCUAAAAUGAGGAUAAUGAUAUUUAUCUGAUACAGUUCUUCUGCCCUAACACAUACGUGUGCAUUGCCUUUGCUUUCAAAUGUUUGGUAAUCACCUUUUUAGAUUUAAAUCAUUACUCAAAUUGAACUCUCCUUCAGCCUUUGUGUGUCUAGACUUUCCGUUAAGAUUAGAUUACUUGUUUUACUAUGAUUGUAAACCAUUGUUUCCAUGAAGUCUCAUAGCAAAUGUUCUUUUGCUUUCCUCUUUUGUUACUAGUCUCUUGUUAUUUCUCAAACAUAUCAAGCGCACUUCUCCCUCAGGGCCUUUGCGUGUGCUGUUUCCUCUACAUGGAGCUCAGAUGACUGCAUGUCUUUUUCCUAAACUUCUUUGAGGUGUCUGUUCAAAUGUCUUCCACUCAGGGGGGCUUUCCCUGAGCACCUUAUAGAAAAUAAAUAAAAUGAUAUAAUAUCUGCUCUCACGUUCUGUUGCACUUGCCUUGCUUUGUUUUUCUUCAUAGUCUUUAUCUGGAAUAUAUAUUUAUUUCUGUCUACAUCCUCCCACUAGGACAGUGGUUCUUAACCUUGGAUGUUCAUUAGAAUCACCCUGGGAGUUUAAAAAAAUCCUCUCCUGUGUUCUAGAACAAUUAAAUUCAGUAAUGUUAUAAGGAAGAGACUCAGCAUUAGUAUUUUGUAAAACUCCCAGGAGAUUCCUAUGUGCAACCAAGCUUGAGAACCAGUGUUCUAGUCUAGAACCUUACUUCCCAGAGGAUGUGGACUGGUGGCAUCAGCAUCACCUUUAUUUGAAAGCUGAGUCCAAUUCUUCUCUUUGGCAGGACCCACAGAUGAUGCAUAUGACAUUAAAGCUUGAGAUGCACUGCACUAGAAUGCAGGGGCGUCAUUUUGCUUGCUGCUGUAUCCUUAGUGUCAGAACAGUACUUAGCACAUCAUAAGCACUCACUAAAUAUUUAUCAAAUGAAUUAACGUUGGAGAUGAGAGGAAGGAGGAGGUAAUAAUGGAAAGAGGACAAAGAAAGAGAGGCAAGGGAAGACAGAAAGAAAACAGAUUUGGCCUCCCCACAUUUUCUGGGCACAGAUAUAACGGCUCUCUCUUGCUCUUUGCUCCCAAUCAAAACUCAGCCAGCCUCAUGUCCAACAUCUCAUGGGCUUGCCUCCAGUUCUCUGCACUUUCCAAAGUGAUAGCUGACUAAUCAAAGAUAUUGUGAUAAUGAAUUGCCUAACUACGCAGCCUGCCUUCUUCUCUUCUAGCAUGUAUUUGAUUAGGGGCCUGCUGAAACCAAUUAAGUAAAUAAUUCAGUAUGACUUUAUGAACUACCUACUACAUGCAUGGCUUAACACAGGCAGCCUCAAGAGGCUGAGAACCAAAGACGGAAAAAGCACAACUUAUAGUCCAGCUAUAGAGACAGACUUUUAGGUAAGUAAUCAUACCUUGAGGUGAAAAAAAAAAAAAAAAAAAAAAAGAUCUGUGAUGGAAGACACUUACAGACAUGUAGACAGGGUGGUGUGGAAGGUCUACAGUAAGUGACUGUUUCAGACUGAGGGGAGGGAGUAGACUCCUGGUGAGGAGGGCAGGGGCAUGUGAGUUGCGUAUGUGAGUGGCUGGAACACAAGGUGGGGAGGCAUGCUUGUGUGCUUUGGCAAUCACAAAGACGGUUAGAAGGCAGUUAAAGGGUUGGAGUAUGGUCAGUUCUGUGUUUUGAAGAGAUGACUGACAGUCGUGGAAGGUGGAUUGGAGAAGGAAGACCAUGGGCCCAUCACACCCAGUUUGGAGAUGAUUAAAGAUGAUACCCACGUUACAUGACAGAGCCGUGGCAGGGGCAAUAGGAUGUAAAAUGUGGAGAUCGUUUUGAGAUUUUUCAAAUGGGGAAGACCAUGUCUUUUUUGUUUAACCGAAAUGAGCAGGAAUUCUUGGGGUGACAUCAAAUUCGAUAGUUCUAUGAGCAUAUACACUGAAAACCACGAUAUUACGGAAAUAUAGGCUAUUUCUCUUUUCACUGGCCUUUAGAUAGACUGGAUUAGUGGAGAGUUGAGCAUUCGUCUUUUCUUAGAGCCUUGAGUGGAGAUGGACCCUAGUGAUUAUUUAUUUUGACUGCUUUAUUUUGAAGAUGAAGAGAAGGAGGCCAAGGUAUGAAAUGAUUAUCAGAACCAGGAAUGCAACUUGAGGUCACCAUUACUAGAUACAUAGUGAGUGCCAGGUGGUUUAAAUACUCAUUAUCACCUUCAAUCCUCACAACCAUUGUAUGAAACAGGGAUGCUAUGUUUAUUUUAGGGAUGAGAAAACCCAAAACUCAAGGAGGUAACUCACCCAAGGUUUUGCAGCUAGUAAGUGGUACAGCUGGGAUCCAAACCCAGGUGUGUCCCAGCUACGCUGUGCCAUCUACUCCUCUGCCCUGCUGCUUUCCUAAUCAGUACUCCCUGAUGCUGCUGAGGAAGAGUCGAACUUAUAGAGGUCACACAUUGUUUUCCUUGUUUUUGGAUGCAGUUUUGUUUUCUUUGAUAAUCAUAAAUUGAGGAUUUAUGACAGCCGAUUUCUCUCUGUUAUUUUGGUCACAAUUUCACAAUGUGACCUUUGGAAGUAAGGGCUUUGAGUUCCUUAAAAUAGCUAAAUUGAGAGGAUAAAGGAAAACUGACUCAAAUCAGAGAAUUUGCAUCAGGUUUCUGUAGGUUUCUUAUAAUAAUCAACAAGUAUUUAGCAAUUCUUUUUUCACAUAAAUAGAAGAGCCAAGAGAAGAACAGCGUCUUUGACCUGAUGGUGUUAAGCCUGCAAUCUGGGUAAAAAGGAAUUUGCGGAACACUCUGGAUCUGAUACUGAAAAGUUGAAGAAAGCAACAUCUUGCUUAUUACCCUUGUGUUUAAGACCAUUUGGGGCCGGGCGCGGUGGCUGACGCCUGUAAUCCCAACACUUUGGGAGGCCGAGGCGGGUGGAUCACGAGGUCGGGAGAUCAAGACCAUCCUGGCUAACAUGAAAAUUAGCCGGGCAUGGUGGUGGGCGCCUGUAGUCCCAGCUACUCGGGAGGCUGAGGCAGGAGAAUAGCGUGAAUCUGGGAGGCUGAGCUUGCAGUGAGCGGAGAUCAUGCCACUGCACUCCAGCCUGGGCGACAGAGCAAGACUCCUUCUCAAAAAAAAAAAAAAAAAAAAAAAAAAAAAAGAUCAUUCGGAACCGAAUAUGUGAAGAUCAGGGCUGUGAUCUGGUGAAUUGGGAGUGAUUUAUGCCACCCAAGCGAGUUGACCUGAACCGCUGGGGUCCAUCAUCCUGCUUCUGUUUCUGCACUGGCAUUUGUGUUAGUAUUUGGUGGAAGGUGGUUCACUUUUGGCUGAAGUUGGUGGAUGUGGGCAGAGCAGGAUUAGUUCCUUUCUUCUGCCCUCUCUUCUAGCAAUGCUCCAAGGAUGCUUUGGAAGACUCAUUAUUCAGAGCUGCAGCUGGACUGCCUUAGACAUCUGCAUUUCUCUAUCUCUGAAAUAAGGGACUCAAACAAGAGCAUCACUCUUUUCCUUUCCAGCUCUAAAAUUAUGUGAUUUUUCUUUCACAUGGUAAGUGAAAUAGUCAUCUGAGCUGCUGUAGUAGGUUGAGCUUAUUGUAUCCCAGAUCUGAGUGGUUCAACUCCAUGUUCAUGCUGCCCAGUUCCAAGAGCACCUCUGUGGCCUUCAAACAGUUGUACACAGUCUGUAAACUGCUCAGCCACUUCUCCCAGUCUUCUAAGCAGGCAAAGACUCCUUAUCUCUUAGAUCUAAAAUCAUUAGGUAGAUUUUGAUUCCAAGGGUCAAAGCACAGCAUGGUAGGCAGCAAGCUCUCAUCCAAGCCCGUAUUUCAGCAGGCAGGCGAUGCUGAGGUGCUUUAGGCCUUCAGUGCACACAGAUAGAUGCUUCCCCUGAGCCUCAGGGAAAGCUUUAUUUUGCCCACGUUGUAUUCCUUCCUGCAUCGUAUAUGUUAAUGUUGCUCUGCCACUCCAAAUACAGCAGUGUCUGCUCAGUUCCAUUUUCUUCCUUUUGCAAAGAGCAGGCAACCAGCUAUGCCUUCCUGAGAGCAGACAAACCUGGAGCCAAGGGGGCCACAUUUUCAGCUUCAAUAGCAAUUGCUGCAGCUCCCUUAUUUCAUCACCUAUUAGGAUGCGCAGGCGGCGCUAAGUGACACAUAGCCCAUAAAACAUAUCUGCUUCCUGCUGAUUUCAUGGUUCUGGAGGACAGGCUGUGCACAGGGAUUCAGACAGAGUGUAGUAACAAGCAGGGGUGCUAUGGAAUAUUCAUUUAUCCUAAAUAAAUAUCUUUUUGGCAACUGCUUUUCCCUAUAGUGUAAUACAGUAACGCUAUGGGGCAUGUAUACAUGUGUGUGCAUAAGGAACAUCCGUCCAUCUCUAGCUGUCAUGUCUGAGAACAUUAAUAAAAGGCUCGACCUCAUGCGCCUGCAAGUGAUCACAAGACAGUUACUGAAGCAUUCAAAGAAGCAAUGUCUUUGUCAUCUGACUCAUUUUGAAAACGCAUGAGAAUGCUUUCCCAAGGCAAUUUCUUACAAAAUACACCGUGGGACAUUUUUCCUAUAGUUUAUUGUUGUUGAUGAUCAUCGAGAACUUUGUACCCAGAGACACUCUACACUGUGAGUGUCCCCUGAUAUUCCCUCCCACUCAGCCUGAUCAGUGGUAUCUGACCUCCAACUACUCGCUGCAACAACCCGUUCUCUAGCUGAGUGGGCCUGGACUUUGAACAGAAUUAACAGCCUGGAAGUGGAGUUCUCAAUCUCAACAGCCCCUUACCUCAUGCAAAUUUCUUUUGAGCUGAAAAGAACAAACAGAAUGCCACCUUUUAAAACAACCUUCUUCGAAACAUGGGGGGAAAGUCAGGUUUUAUAUAAAUCAGAGAGAUAGAAAUAAGGCCCAUAAUAAAAAACUUGAAAUAGAUUUGGGAAGUUUCCGAAACUUCCAAAAACUAGUGGUCCAAAGUGGGCAAUAUUUUUUGUGUGCAUUGAGAGGCCCUUCCUGUUUCCUUGGUCCAUGCUGGUGUCUUGCCCCGUUCCAGGAACCCUGGGCUCCCCUGUGCUGAGCAGCCCCCACACCUCAGCCCAAAGCCUCACCCCUUGCCUGACCACACCCCAUUUCUUUUGGCACAGCUUCCCAGACUUACAAGAUGUCUUGAAGUGACUGAAUGGAGUUAGUGUUCGGCAGGACUGGCUAGGACUGGAAGCAGACCAGAUUUAAUCAAAGCUGUUGAAGCUGCCCAGGGACUGGCUAAGCUGCCACCCUGUUAGUGAGGCCGCUGGGGAGAGGGAAACUGAAGCCUGCACCACGGGGAGCCGUAUACUGGAGUCUGGAAUCCAUUUGCUCCACGCAGGAGGCCUGCAUCUCAAGUCAGGAGGCACUGCCUGGAAAUCUAGCAUCAUGUUGAUACUCUUUGGUGAAGGAAAUGUGGUCCUUGCCCCAAGUUAUCUCACAGUCCCUUUGGGCAAUCUCAUGCAUAUUAAAAAUACCGACAAACAUAGACCCACGAAAGAUCCUGAUCUUUUAGGUCUGUCAUGUGAUAGAGACAGUAAGUGCUCUGUAUAGACAUCAGGAGAUUUUCUUCCCUGAAGGACAAGCUCUUGUAGCAUUUUCCUGCACUGAGAUGCAGUCAUGCUAGCCUGUCUUUCACUCACCAGGGAUGGCAAGGAAGGACCAGCUGACAAGUAAUAAAGCAAACCAGUUUGUAAUUUUACAGGGCUCUGAAUAAAGAUGCAUUUAUCUCUGGCCAACACCAAGAGGCCUCGAUGUCUCUCACAGGGAGGAACUUGAUGGGCUGUGGCGUCUUUUGGGGGUGCUAGGGCAGAGUCAGGCUUGAAUCUGAGAAAGGCAAGUCUGUGCAUUAAAAUCCAGCACGGGGGUGGGUCUGGGGCAAGGGACAAGAGAGAAGCGGGAAUGGAAGGCAGGGAUGAGGACUGGUAACAGACCCUCUGCCUCCUUCCUUCCUCUUCCCUCACACUGGCUCUUUCAGCCACUUCCCUCACUGAGAUAGGAAGCGGUCCUGUGGUGACGCCAAGGGCACAGGCUUCUGCUGUCUGGGCUCCGGCACAGUCAUUGGCUCUGAGUCAUCCGGGAAGGAAAGGCAUCUUUUACCGCCCCCUCUCCCACCGUGGCCUCAGGCUCCCACCAUGCAGGAAAUGCCUGGUCUCCCACGAAUCAGAAGCUAUAAACAGGACUGGUGGCAGUUCAUACAGAUUUGGCAAAGGACGAGAAGCUGUGGGUUAUUGGUAUCAGUGAUUAUAGAAGGGGAAAGAGUUGAUAUCUGAAGAUAGGAAAAGGGGCUUCUGAGGAUGGUGUUAGCAUGUUCAGGCACAGCAUUAAUCUUUAAGAGUCACGAAGAGCCAUCAGCACAGUCAUCUCCCUAAUAAGCCUUGAGAGUGUUGUCAAAGACACUUCUGGAUAUAAGUAAGAAACCAUUGAGACUGAGUUGUAUGGUUAAACAGCACAGUUUUUAGGGAGAGGCAAAGGCAACUCUGUGUUCAGCUCUUAGUUCUGACACUUAUGAACUCAGAUUUAAAUUCCCUGAGCCUCAGUUUCCCUGUCUGUAAAAUCAGGAUAAAAAUUUCUUGCUCAAGGCCAACAAAAACAAGCAAUGGGGUAAAGGACUCCUUAUUCAUAAAUGGUGCUGGGAUAGCUGGCUAGCCAUAUGCAGAAGAAUGAAACUGAACCCUUACCUUUCACCAUAUACAAAAAUUAACUCAAGAUGGAUUAAAUCGAAAUCUAAGACCUCAAACUGUAAAAAUCCUAGAAGAAAACACAGGAAAAACCCCUCUUGACACUAGCCUUGGCAAAGGAUUUUUGGCUAAGUCCCCAAAAGCAAUUGCAACAAAAACAAAAAAUUGACAAGUGGGAACUAAUUAAACUAAAGAGCUUCUGCACGGCAAAAGAAUCAACAGAGUAAACAGCAACCUACCGAAUGGGAGAAAAUAUUUGCAAACUGUGCAUCCAACAAAGGUCUAAUAUCCAGAAUCUAUAAGGAACUUAAAUCAAGAGGCAAAAAAACAAUAACUCCAUUAAAAAAUGGGCAAAGGGCAUGAACAGACACCUCUUAAAAGAAGACAUACAAGCAGCCAACAAACAAGAAAAAAUGCUUAUUAUCACUAAUCAUCAGAGAAAUGCAAAUCAAAGCCACGACGAGAUACUGUCUCACACCAGUCAGAAUGCUAUUAUCAAAAGUCAAAAAAUAACAGAUGCUGGUGAGGCUAUGGAGAAAAGGGAAUGCUUAUACACCGGUGGGGGAAAUGUAACUUAGUUCAGUCAUUGUAGAAAGCAGUUUGGAGAUUUCUCAACUUAAAACAGAGCUACCAUUCAGCCCAUAAAUCUCAUUACUGGGUGUAUAUCCAAAGGAAACUAGAUCAUUAUACCAAAAAGACAUAUACACUUGUAUGUUUACUGCCACGCUAUUCACAGUAUCAAAGACAUGGAAUCAACCUAGGUGCACAUCAACAGUGGAUUUGAUUUUGUUUUAAUGUGGUACAUAUACACCAUGGAAUACUUUGCAGCCAUAAAAAGGAAUGAAAUCAUGUCCUUUAUAGCAACAUGGGUAACCAUGUUGGAAGAGCUGGAAACCAUAAUUCUAAGUGAAUGAAUGCAGGAACAGAAAACCAAAUGCUGCAUGUUCUCACUUAUAAGUAGGAGCUAUACAUCGAGCACUCAUGAACAUAAACAUGGGAACAAUAAACACUGUGGACUACUAGAGGGAGGAGCGGGAGGGGGUUAAUGAGUCAGAAACUACCUCUUGGGUACUGUGCUCACUACCUGGAUGCAAGAUACCCAUGUAACAAACCUGCACACGUAAACCCUAUGUCUAAAGUAAAAGUUGGAAAAGAAAAAAUAUUUCCUAAAUUGUUCUAGAAUUAAGCAAGGUAAUAUUUAUAAGACAUCCAGCAGAGGGUCUGGCACCCUGGCAUAUAAUAGAUGCCUAAUGAACAUUAGUUUCCUUAUUUUUCUUACGAGAGUAAAAUAUUAAGAUGUACAUAUUCUGUUAGGUCAUAGAAAGUUUGAAUGGUGGGAAAAGUCAGCUGUUAAAAUGCUGUGGGAUCUCUUUUUGAGCCUUUUCACCUGUGAUCAAAGUUGUCCAUCACCCUGGCAUUUUUGAGAGCUGUAAUUUAAGGAAGAAGGUAUCAUAGGUUACCUCUGUGGAAAUUCUAGAAUUUGAAUAUUAUGCCCCUGCUCACUUGUAGACUGGGCUGUCACUAUAAAGUUAGGCUGACUUGACUGUAUCUGAUAAUUAGGGGCUGGGAGAGCAUGGAAAAUUGAAGCCAUAGAUAAUCCCAGUGUCUUGUUUUAGCCAAUAAUAAUUCUUCUCCCACCAAGUCUUUAUCAGAACUGCUAACAAGGAGAAAAGUCGACUGGUUUGAGUUUCCUCACCUUUUAUUCUCCCCUGGGUAUCUUCAGUAGAGGUGCUAAUGAACAGUGAAAUGGCCAAAAGGUGAGCAGCUCCAGGGAGGAGAAGAAGGAGGCUCAGAUAAUCCACAAACUGUAAUCGCUUUGAAUAAUUGAGUUAACUCCAGUAAAAUGUAGAGAUACAUUCACCUGCUAGGCAUUGUUGGAA